UGAAUUUCUGGGGUUCAUUGGCAGCUGCCAACUGCUUCUUCAACACUUUGCUUUGUUUUUCACUCUGCACAUCCAGUAACUGAUCAUCUCGAGAUCAGUAAGGAAUUCACUGGGUCAGUCACAGCCAAGGCCUUCUGGUGUUCAGAUAUGUUUAUGCUAGAAAGAGUAAUGGUCCCCCAAAGAUGUCCCUGUUCUCGUCCCUGGAACCUGUGAAUGUGUUCUCUUACAGGGCAAAAGGGACUUUCCUAAGGUGGUUAAGGAUCUUGAGAUGGUGAGAUUAUCCUGUGUUAUCUAUGUGGGCCAAAACUAAUCACAAGGGUCCUUAUUAGAGGAAGACAAGAAGGCCAGAGGAGAUCCAUUGCAGGAAGCAGAAGUAGGCAUGACAUGCUCUGAAAAUGGAGGAAGGGGCCUUGAGCCAAGGAAUGCGGGGCAGGCUGCCUUCUAGAAACACAAAAGUGCAAGGAAAUGCAUUCUCCACCAGAGCCUCAGGAGGAGUACAACGCUGUCUACACGUUGAUUUUAGCCUGGUGAGAUUAUUUUGGACUUCUGACUUCUAGAAAUGUGGAGAUGAUCAAUCAGGACUAGAGCCCCAUCUUUGCUGCUAUGCCUCCUAAGACUGUGUGAUUCAUUCACCAGUUUCACCAGAAAGGACCAGGGUCAGCGAGGUGGAUGUGGCCUCUAGAUAAAUUGUCUCCAAAAACAGCCCAAAAGGGAGUUCCCUAAGUGCUUUGAGACCCUGUUACUAUCUACAGCUUACUGCAUUGGAUGUGGAUUCCUCACCCAUGAUAAGCCAAAUGCAUGUAGCCUAAAGAUGCAGCGACUACAUAAGUUGUCUUGGAAACUUGAAUUGGAAAGGGAUCCUGCGGAUUGAUGGUCUGUCACCUGGAAGGUGGAGGCAGACCCCAGAUCUCUGUGUUCUUAAAGGAAAGAAGGAUUAAUGAGCUCCUUAGAGUUGUCUGUGGGCUGGAGCUCAUCUCGGUGCCUGCUCCGGCUGGGACAGCGUACUGCCAAGAGAAAGGCAGGCAGCUACAAAGCUUUGGUCAUGCUGCCCCUUGUGUGACCUGUCAGGUCUUGUCUGUGAUCGGCUGUGCUGGUUGGUGCAGGUCACACGCUGAGCUCUUCCCAGGAAUCUGAUUGUUUGCAGUUGUAAAGUGCAGGAGCUUGGAUCUGUCCGAGCAGAGGGUUAAAUCAUGGAGUGUUUUACAAGGGCAGCUAUAGGGAAUGUCUUGUUUUCUCCUUAUAUGGCUAUUUUUCUCAGUCCAGAAUCCCAGGGUGUAUUUUACGUGGUUGAAAUACACAAAUGGAGUCAUAGUCUUAGCCAAACAUGCUAUGUGGCUUUAAAAUUAACAAGCCUCUCUCUACUUCUGUACCCCAAACACACAUUCACAUGCACCAUUUCCGUUGAGACCAUGGAAAGCUACUCCUUCCUUUUUAGCCAAAAAUAUUCAAUGGGGUGGAUUUCUACAAUUCUGUUGCUUUAUGUGGGAGAAAGAUUUCUUUGGAUCAGAGUAGUUUUGCAAGCGUGUGGGUCAAGUUUAAGUAGCAAGUUUUUAAUGAGUAGCUACCAUAUGUGAUGUGCUGCCUCCACUGGCUCUGGAUUUAUGGGCAGAAUGGGGGCACCAAACGUUAACAUAUAAAAAGGAAAGAUGUUUAAUGAUGAUUCAAGACGACACUAGUCAGAAGGCAGUGCGGGGUGAGAGAGAGCAUGAGCUUGCCACAGGCGCUCAGGGGAAGGAGAAAUCUGUUCAGACUGUGGUGAUCAGGGCAACUUUGAUGGAAGAAGUGGAGGUUUGAAUUAGUUGGAUUUGGUUAGGUCAGGGGGAGAGGGAGAGGCAUUUUCGUGGUGGAGACCUGAAGAAAAAUGCUAAGGAGAGACAACGAAGGGAAUUUUAAAAGAGGAGAGCGAAUAAUCCAGAGUGGCUAAAGCAAAUAAUUCAUGUAGGAGAAGAGGAACUUUGGGUGGGAAAGGUAGAUGAAGGCUGGAGUUGGCCUGGGAAGUCAAGUUGGAGCUGGGAUUUUUACUGCAUGAUAAAGUGGAGGCAUUGAGGGCUUUGGGGUAUUUAUUUUGAUCUGAACCGCUCUGGGCACCAGGAUUCUCAAUAAUUUCUGUCUCCAAAGCUUAUUUUUCUUUUUGGCUAUCUCAUCAAAUAUGACAAUCUAGAAAAUUAAGAUUUAAAUUUUUUCAAAAAAAAUU